rnacentral:rRNA from 1 species
UACGUAGGGUGCGAGCGUUGUCCGGAAUUAUUGGGCGUAAAGAGCUCGUAGGCGGUGUGUCACGUCGGCCGUGAAAACCUGCAGCUUAACUGUGGGCGUGCGGUCGAUACGGGCAGACUAGAGGUAUGCAGGGGAGAACGGAAUUCCUGGUGUAGCGGUGAAAUGCGCAGAUAUCAGGAGGAACACCGGUGGCGAAGGCGGUUCUCUGGGCAUUACCUGACGCUGAGGAGCGAAAGUGUGGGGAGCGAACAGG